UACGUAGGGUCCAAGCGUUAUCCGGAAUUACUGGGCGUAAAGAGUUGCGUAGGUGGCAUGGUAAGCGAAUAGUGAAAUGACGAGGCUCAACCUUGUGUCCAUUAUUUGAACUGCCAAGCUAGAGAAUGUGAGAGGUACCUGGAAUUCCCUGUGUAGGAGUGAAAUCCGUAGAUAUAGGGAGGAACACCGAUGGCGUAGGCAGGGUACUGGCACAUUCCUGACACUAAGGCACGAAAGCGUGGGGAGCAAACGGGG
rnacentral:rRNA from 1 species